UACGUAGGGGGCAAGCGUUGUCCGGAAUUAUUGGGCGUAAAGAGCGUGUAGGCGGCCAGAUAAGUCCGCUGUGAAAUCUCGAGGCUCAACUUCGAGCUGUCGGUGGAAACUAUCUGGCUAGAGUCCGGAAGAGGAGAAUGGAAUUCCUGGUGUAGCGGUGAAAUGCGCAGAUAUCAGGAAGAACACCCGUGGCGAAGGCGGUUCUCUGGGACGGUACUGACGCUGAGACGCGAAGCGUGGGGAGCAAACAGG
rnacentral:rRNA from 1 species